UAGGGAAUCUUCCACAAUGGACGAAAGUCUGAUGGAGCAACGCCGCGUGAGUGAUGAAGGGUUUCGGCUCGUAAAACUCUGUUGUUGGAGAAGAACAGGUGUGAGAGUAACUGUUCACAUCUUGACGGUAUCCAACCAGAAAGCCACGGCUAACUACGUGCCAGCAGCCGCGGUAAUACGUAGGUGGCAAGCGUUGUCCGGAUUUAUUGGGCGUAAAGCGAGCGCAGGCGGUUUCUUAGGUCUGAUGUGAAAGCCUUCGGCUUAACCGGAGAAGUGCAUCGGAAACCAGGAGACUUGAGUGCAGAAGAGGACAGUGGAACUCCAUGUGUAGCGGUGAAAUGCGUAGAUAUAUGGAAGAACACCAGUGGCGAAGGCGACUGUCUGGUCUGUAACUGACGCUGAGGCUCGAAAGCAUGGGUAGCGAACAGGAUUAGAUACCCUGGUAGUCCAUGCCGUAAACGAUGAGUGCUA
rnacentral:rRNA from 1 species